GCCCCGGUAGCUCAGCUGGAUAGAGCAGAGGACUUCUAAGCCUAAGGCCGCAGGUUCAAGUCCUGCCCGGGGUACCA
rnacentral:tRNA from 1 species